CAGUCCAUGAUCUCCCCACCUGAUUGCUGGGAGUGGGGCCUGGCCCUUGAAGCAGGAAAUGGUGCCUUCUUUGGAGGGAGAUACUCUCAUACCAAUGGAUUCUGGUGACAAGAAUGUGGGAAGGGCAGUCACAUCGGACUCCCUUGAGUGUCCUGGCCUGGGGUGAGGCCCCAGCAAUCCUGCCCAUACAUGGGCUUUCUCAGUCUGAGAAGAAGGAUGAGAGUUCUCUGUGCACAUCUGGGCCAGCCACACAUCUGGAUCUGGUCCAGUUCCAUCCAUUCCUCCAGUCAGCGGUGGAAAGCAUGGCUGUCAACAGCUCCGAGGUUGGCAUGGCCUCUGCAUGUGAAGACAACCUGCUUUAGCUGAAGUCUUUUGGUUCCAAGUCCAAAUUCUUCUCAGAAGACACUGAUUGGCUCAGCUUGGGUCAGGUGCUCACCACCUGGAAAGAAUAAACGUGGUAAAUCCUA